CUAUCCCCAUCGUUAUUCGCUGAUCGAGAAUCGGGAGUGCUGCAGCAGACGCUUUGGAUCCUUAGUCUGCCAUGGGAGUUCACUUCCAGCUCUGCACGAUGACGACUAGAACAGGCACACAAUCGAAAUUGAAACAUAGUAUUACAAACGAUUUUGGAGUAAAAGAAAAGAUGAAAUACAAUUCGGGAAGAGAAGGCGAAACAAAAGUCAAAGAAGUUUCAUGCAAUCAGUUGGACAAAGAGGGAGGCCAGAAUCGUGGUUGGAUCCCCAAGAAUGAUACUAACGAUGAUCUGGAUGAAGAUCUUGAGGAUUCUCAGCACCUUGUUACCUCCUCCGCCUUUCUUCCGAUGGCUAAUUUCUUUCAGAUUCAUAUUCAGACCCAAAGAUAUAUUUUUUUUUUAAUUUAAAAAUAUUUUUUA